UACGUAUGGAGCAAGCGUUAUCCGGAUUUACUGGGUGUAAAGGGAGCGUAGACGGCUUUGCAAGCCAGAUGUGAAAGCCCGGGGCUCAACCCCGGGACUGCAUUUGGAACUGUGUGGCUAGAGUGUCGGAGAGGCAGGCGGAAUUCCUAGUGUAGCGGUGAAAUGCGUAGAUAUUAGGAGGAACACCAGUGGCGAAGGCGGCCUGCUGGACGAUGACUGACGUUGAGGCUCGAAAGCGUGGGGAGCAAACAGG
rnacentral:rRNA from 1 species